GGGGAUAUAGCUCAGUUCAUAGAGCACCUGCCUCAAAUGCACAAGGCCCUGGGUUCAAUUCCCAGCACCA
rnacentral:tRNA from 1 species